GCCGAAUUCAAGAAAAGGAGAGAGACAAAGGAGAGGCAUGAAUUCUAGAGAGAGAGAGAGAGAGAGAGAAGAGAAAGAAGGAGAAGAGAAGAGGAGGACCUUGAAGCCAUAGAGGUUGGUUGAAGGGGAAUAUUUAUGUUCUUGAUUUUACAAAUCAAGAGAGGUAAUAAAUAGGGUUUCCCUUUGGCACGCACUGUGAUGUGGGGAUUUCUGACGUCGGAGUGUGUAUGGCGUGGGGGUAUCCUAUGGGUGAAUAAAUGAUCAACUUAAACGCCAAUUUUAAAG